rnacentral:rRNA from 2 species
UGUAAGCGCAGCGAUGCGUUGAGCUAACCGGUACUAAUGAACCGUGAGGCUUAACCUUACAACGCCGAAGGUGUUU